AACGAACGCUGGCGGCAUGCUUUACACAUGCAAGUCGAGCGCUAACAGCCGGGCGGGUGCCGGAGGGGGGCGUAAGGGGGGGGAAUGCACCCGCAUGUACCCAGUGGCGGCGGGUAACGGAGAGAAAUGUGGGAUAAGACCGCAUGGGGUCUGAGUAAGCGAACGAGGAACGGCGCGGCAAGGUUUGGUCUGGCGCUGUAGGAACGGCCGAAGUAGGAUUAGAUAGUUGGUGGGGUAGAGGCGUACCAAGGCGACGAUCCGUAGCUGGGGUGAGAGAAAGGUCAGCCACACUGAGGGUGGGACACGGCCGAGACUCCUACGGAAGGCAGGAGUGGGGAAUCUUGGACAACGGGGGCAACCAUGAUGGAGCCAGGGCGCGUAAUCGAUUAAGGCCUGAGGGAUGUAGAGUUCGUUCAUAUGGGAAGAUAAUGACGGUACCUGCAGAAGAAGCCCCGGCUAACUACGUG
rnacentral:rRNA from 1 species